rnacentral:rRNA from 1 species
AUACGGAGGAUCCGAGCGUUAUCCGGAUUUAUUGGGUUUAAAGGGUGCGCAGGCGGGAGAUUAAGUCGGCGGUGAAAUUUUUCAGCUCAACUGUAAAUGUGCCUUCGAUACUGGUUUCCUUGAGGGUGGAUGAAGUAGGCGGAAUUUGUGGUGUAGCGGUGAAAUGCUUAGAUAUCACGAGGAACUCCGAUUGCGCAGGCAGCUUACUAAACCACUACUGACGCUCAGGCACGAAGGCGUGGGGAUCAAACAGGAUUAGAUACCCUGGUAGUCCACGCAGUAAACGAUGAUUACUGGCUGUUUGCGAUACAAUGUAAGCGGCUGAGCGAAAGCGUUAAGUAAUCCACCUGGGGAGUACGUUCGCAAGAAUGAAACUCAAAGGAAUUGACGGGG